rnacentral:rRNA from 1 species
UACAGAGGGGGCAAGCGUUGUUCGGAAUUACUGGGCGUAAAGGGCGCGUAGGCGGCCUUCUAAGUCGAACGUGAAAUCCCCGGGCUCAACCCGGGAACUGCGUCCGAUACUGGAAGGCUUGAAUCCGGGAGAGGGAUGCGGAAUUCCAGGUGUAGCGGUGAAAUGUGUAGAGAUCGGGAGGAACACCGGUGGCGAAGGCGACUUCCUGGCCUGUUCUUGACGCUGAGGCGCGAAAGCUAGGGGAGCAAACGGG